AUUGAACGCUGGCGGCAGGCUUAACACAUGCAAGUCGAACGAGCGGCGGACGGGUGAGUAAUGUCUGGGAAACUGCCUGAUGGAGGGGGAUAACUACUGGAAACGGUAGCUAAUACCGCAUACCAUCGGAUGUGCCCAGAUGGGAUUAGCUAGUAGGGGGGGUAAUGGCUCACCUAGGCGACGAUCCCUAGCUGGUCUGAGAGGAUGACCAGCCACCCUGGAACUGAGAAACGGUCCAGACUCCUACGGGAGGCAGCAGUGGGGAAUAUUGCACAAUGGGCGCAAGCCUGAUGCAGCCAUGCCGCGUGUAUGAAGAAGGCCUUCGGGUUGUAAAGCACUUUCAGCGAGGAGGCGUUACUCGCAGAAGAAGCACCGGCUAACUCCGUGCCAGCAGCCGCGGUAAUUC
rnacentral:rRNA from 1 species